GGGAAAGAUUUCUGGUUGGAGAUCCCUCACUUGUGGAGUCAUUCCUGCGAGCUUAGAUCUUUGGAGGCAGGUCACAGAUUCUGGAUACUGGCUGUGGGAUUUUUUUAUUACUAUUUUUAUUAUUUUUGAUUGGCUUUUUCUCCCUUCUUGGAUGUGAGUUGAAGGCCAACAGCUGAAGUGUUGAAAACCAGUGCAGAAGGACACUCACCUUGUUUUGUUUGAACCCUUGUUUGCUGGGAUACUUUCAAGCCCUCCUUCACAGUCAUGUGGUCAUCACAGCUGCUGUUCUUCACAAUGCUCUUAACGCCGUUAGCCCAUGGGUCUUGAUUUCUUUCCCUGCUUCCCACCCAGGUCUUUGAGUUCUUGUGCUAGUGUGUGACUAAUUAGGUCAUGAAACAAAGAACUUUGGUCCCAUAAAUAUUUCUCUUACAAAAUUUAGUUACCGUGUGAAGGCUGAUUUUCAUCCUAAUGCCCAAGCCUACUCUGUUGGCUGUAUAUCACUGGGAUUGUCUCUCCUGGCCUUUAUGUGAAAAUGACUUGUUUUGUGAAUGCUAUUCAGUAGAAUUUUGUGUAUCCUCCUUCAGCCACAGCUCCAUAGAACAUAGGAUCUUAUUCACUGUCAUGAUAUAUCAUGAUUUCAAGCACCACAGUGCACAUUUUCAUGCACUCCUAUACCCAAUGUGACCCUGAGUCUAGAAGUACCCAAACCAGUAUAUUUGUCUUUAGCUUGGCACACUGCGUAACCCACCUGGCAACAAGAGGUCAUCAGCUGUAGCACCAUGCUGAUGCAAGUAGGCAGUACAUGAGAGAUGAGCUAAUGUUAUCAGACAUCACUGCUGUGCUGUGGGGAUGUAUUAGCUUCAGAGGCUGUGCGCAGCGCACUAUUGCCUACAGUGUCCAUUAUGUUUUCUUAAAUGGAAAAAUUUGGUCUUUUUAUUAGCCAUGAAAAUUGAAAUCUGACACAUUUAAUUCUUAGGGAUAAGACUUCAAGAAGUAAAUUGCUAGAUUUCUGAAGAGCGGAAGGGUUCAGGAGCUCCUGUUCUCAGUAAUGGCUGUUAAAUUAUGAGGGCUGAGCUCUGAAAGAUUUGGCUGCUCCCUGAUGCCCCAAUGAAACAUGAGCUUUGAGAAUCCUGUUUUAAUUGCAGAUCUGUGGGAACGUGUUUGUAAAUGAGACGACUCCCUUCAUGGAUCUUGUGCACCCCUGCUUUGAAAAUACUCCAGUCUUUUUGUGCUUAGCAUACAGUGCACGUGUGCUAAGACUCAAGUGAAAUUUUACAGCAAAGAAAAAAAGAAAAAAUUGCAUGUAUGAAUGUAUCUAUUUCUGGAGCAUGACCUGUCUGCUCAUAUCACUUAUAACACUUUUGUGCACAAAGGUUAUCUCUACUAUCGUUCCUUAAGCAAAACUCCUCGCUAACUUGAAAAUUAGAAUGAAUAAUUAAACUGAGCAAACCAAUUGGGGUGGAAUGGAAAGAGCUGUUAGGAAAAGGUGCUCUCCAUUCUUCUCUAGGAAAGUUCACUGGUGAAUAUUUUGUGAAUCUUUAUAAUGAAACAAUAUUAACAGUUGAACAGUUGACAAUUUGAAUAUGCCUCUGGCAGUUCUCUUUUUAAUUCACGGUGCCACUGCAGCUGGAAAAUCCUGCAUGAUAGUCUCUGUAAAUAAAAAUGUCACAAGUAUCUUAAGAGUCACAUGGUGCUAGAGGCAAGCAAACACUACAGAUGUAGAAACUAGGUGCCUGAAAAAAUGUCGGCAGCGGUACCCUUUAUGCUUUUUUACAAAGUAGGUGCCUGGGGUGGCUGCUAUGUGUGUUCUUAGUCAGUGAUGGUAAAUCUGACCCUUAUGUUAUCUCAUCCCUGUAAAUCGCUAGUAAGAGUGUAGUAGAGGCUUCCAGCAAUUCUUGAGCAGUUGAGAGUGAAGACCUUUGCUCUCAGAAUUGAAUCUGUCUCUCCUUUUAUUGACCAAGAUGUGGUUACCAUCUCUAAACUUUUUCGUGCUGCUUUUCUUGGAGGAAGUGUGUAGAAUAUCUGAUUAUUUAGGUAUGGUUCAUUUCUGAUGCUAAACAAAGGGAGAAAACUGCAGUAUAGCUGUGUCAUGUAGUAAGAUUAUGUUUGGUAUCAGCUUCACUGAACAGUCAAACCCAUUCAGUCUCUCAUGAGGAAUGAAGAAUGUGCGUGUUACAAUGAGAGUGGUACUAAAGGUUGGAAAACAUAGGCUGACAGCACUUCCAAGGCUUUGAAAUUAGACACAGAGACAGCACGCAUGGGUUUAAACACAUGCCACAACUUACCUUGCAUACAAAAAUUGCUUAAUAUUAAUUAAUUUUAAUUGCUUAAUUUUUCCCUUCUAAUAAUCCACUCUCAUUAUACAUAGAAAGUUUUGUAUUUUGUUUAGCAGGACUCUAAAAGGAACUGUAACAGUUCUUCUCCUGAAGUGAUUACCAGAGUAGAUACAAACUGCUUUUGUAGCUCAUGGCUCACUACAUCUCUUUCACUGUUUGAGUUUCUCAGUGCAGCCUGUUCAUCUGUAAUGGUAGUUAUGUGCUCAAUCUCUUAGUCUGAUGAUCCCAUACAUUUGUUGAUUUAGGGCUUUGUUUUGUUUGGGAGUUUGUGUAUCUUUUUUAGCCAACAGUUUUUUGGGACUGUGACUUGGGUUACAGUGAAAAGUAUGGAAUUGAUGACUUAAGUGAUCUGGAGGAAAAGCAGUUUUUAAGCAUACUGCCCUGCUUCACUGUUGUCUUGUUCUACAGAGGCAAUGAAAGAGGAACAAGCCUUGAAUUUUUGCGGUUUCUUGGUGAUGGUGUUAAUCUGCUGUAUCUGAAAAGCGUGGGUGCUGUGAUGUGCCCAGAUUACUCUGAAUCGUAGUUAAUAAACAGCUGAGUCCAUGUGUACUUAAGAUCAGUAGCGGAGUAGCACAUGCUUCCUUUACAUACUGCCCAUUUUGACUGAAAAUAGCUUUUUGUAGAUGGGCCAGUGCAAAGGCCCCAGGAAUUCAUCUUUUAAGCUCCAGCAAAGCCUGUCAACUCAUCUGUUGGAUAAAAUUA